rnacentral:rRNA from 1 species
UUUACGGGAGGCAGCAGUGGGGAAUCUUAGCCAAUGGGCGAAACCUGAUCUAGCCAUGCCGCGUGAGUGAKAAGGUCUUAGGAUCGUAAAGCUCUUUCGCUAGGGAUGAUAAUGACAGUACCUAGAUAAAGAAGCCCCGGCUAACUCCGUGCCAGCAGCCGCGGUAAUACGGAGGGGGCUAGCGUUGUUCGGAAUUACUGGGCGUAAAGCGUACGUAGGCGGAUCAAAAGUAUGGGGUGAAAUCCCAGGGCUUAACCCUGGAACUGCCUCAUAAACUCCUGGUCUUGAGUUCGAGAGAGGUGAGUGGAAUUCCAAGUGUAGAGGUGAAAUUCGUAGAUAUUUGGAGGAACACCAGUGGCGAAGGCGGCUCACUGGCUCGAUACUGACCGCUGAGGUACGAAAGUGUGGGGAGCAAACAGGAUUAGAUACCCYKGUAGUCCACACCCGUAAAACGAUGAAUGCCAGUCGUCGGGCAGUAUAUCUGUUCGGUGACACACCUAACGGAUUAAGCAUUCCGCCUGGGGAGUACGGUCGCAAGAUUAAAACUCAA